UCCGAGUUGACCCCGGCAGUCUCCUGCGAGUCCCCGCCAUUACGCGCUGGCAACACAGGACAAGGGUUGCGCUCGUUGCGGGACUUAACCCAACAUCUCACGACACGAGCUGACGACAACCAUGCACCACCUGUGCACGGCCCUUACGGACCCUCCAUCUCUGAAGGAUUUCCGUGCAUGUCAAGCCUAGGUAAGGUUCUUCGCGUUGCAUCGAAUUAAGCAACAUGCUCCGCCGCUUGUGCGGGCCCCCGUCAAUUCCUUUGAGUUUUAGCCUUGCGGCCGUACUCCCCAGGCGGGGCGCUUAAUGCGUUAGCUGCGGCACGGAGACCGUGGAAUGGCCCCCACACCUAGCGCCCAACGUUUACGGCGUGGACUAC
rnacentral:misc_RNA from 1 species